GACAGAGGGUGCAAGCGUUGUUCGGAAUCAUUGGGCGUAAAGGGCGCGUAGGCGGCUUUGUAAGUCAGGUGUGAAAUCCCGGGGCUCAACCCCGGAAGUGCAUCUGAUACUGCAAGGCUUGAGUGUCAGAGAGGAUAGGGGAAUUCCCGGUGUAGAGGUGAAAUUCGUAGAUAUCGGGAGGAACACCAGUGGCGAAGGCGCCUAUCUGGAUGACCACUGACGCUGAGGCGCGAAAGCGUGGGGAGCAAACAGG
rnacentral:rRNA from 1 species